AUUGAACGCUGGCGGCAUGCUUUACACAUGCAAGUCGAACGGUAACAGGUCUUUCGGGAUGCUGACGAGUGGCGAACGGGUGAGUAAUGUAUCGGAACGUGCCCAGUAGUGGGGGAUAACUACUCGAAAGAGUGGCUAAUACCGCAUGAGAUCUCUGGAUGAAAGCGGGGGACCGUAAGGCCUCGCGCUACUGGAGCGGCCGAUAUCAGAUUAGGUUGUUGGUGAGGUAAAGGCUCACCAAGCCGACGAUCUGUAGCUGGUCUGAGAGGACGACCAGCCACACUGGGACUGAGACACGGCCCAGACUCCUACGGGAGGCAGCAGUGGGGAAUUUUGGACAAUGGGCGCAAGCCUGAUCCAGCAAUGCCGCGUGCAGGACGAAGGCCUCGGUUGUAACUAGCUUU
rnacentral:rRNA from 1 species